AACGUAGGAGACGAGCGUUAUCCGGAAUUACUGGGCGUAAAGCGCGAGUAGGCGGCUUUUUAAGUGGUCUGUGAAAGCGUCCGGCUCAACUGGACGAGGCCGGAUCAGACUGGAAGGCUAGAGGGUCAGAGAGGCAGGCGGAAUUCCGGGUGUAGUGGUGAAAUGCGUAGAGAUCCGGAGGAACACCAGUGGCGAAGGCGGCCUGCUGGCUGACAACUGACGCUGAGGCGCGAAAGCAUGGGGAGCGAACGGG
rnacentral:rRNA from 2 species